AGAGAGGUGUCCGAGUGGUCGAAGGAGCACGCCUGGAAAGUGUGUAACCGCCAAAAGCGUUUCGAGGGUUCGAAUCCCUUCCUCUCUGC
rnacentral:tRNA from 1 species